GAUGAACGCUGGCGGCGUGCCUAAUACAUGCAAGUCGAGCGCAGCGGGGACGGUUGAGUAACACGUGGAUAACCUCCUAUAAGUCUGGGAUAACUUGGGGAAACAGGUGCUAAACCGGCUACUCAGGUAUGGAUCAGCGCUGCAUUCGCUGGUUGGUAAGGUAACGGCUUACAAAGGCAACGAUGCAUAGCCGACCUGAGAGGGUGAUCGGCCACACUGGAACUGAGACACGGUCCAGACUCCUGCGGGAGGCAGCAGUAGGGAAUCUUCCGCAAUGGGCGAAAGCCUGACGGAGCAACGCCGCGUGAGUGAUGAAGGUCUUCGGAUCGUAAAACUCUGUUAUUAGGGAAGCGGUACCUAAUCAGAAAGCCACGGCUAACUACGUGCCAGCAGCCGCGGUAAUAC
rnacentral:rRNA from 1 species